GGUCUUGGGUUCGCCUGGGGUCACGAGUGGCGCACGGGUGAGUAGCGCGUGGGAACCUGCCCUCUUGUGGGGGAUAACCGAGGGAAACCUCGGCUAAUACCGCAUAAGCCGGAGCAAUCCGGGAAAGAUUUAUCGCGAGAGGAGGGGCCCGCGUCGGAUUAGCUUGUUGGUGGGGUAAUGGCCCACCAAGGCGAUGAUCCGUAGCUGGUCUGAGAGGAUGAUCAGCCACACUGGGACUGAGACACGGCCCAGACUCCUACGGGAGGCAGCAGUGGGGAAUAUUGGACAAUGGGCGCAAGCCUGAUCCAGCAAUGCCGCGUGAGUGAGGAAGGCCUUAGGGUUGUAAAGCUCUUUCACCCGCGACGAUGAUGACGGUAGCGGGAGAAGAAGCCCCGGCUAACUUCGUGCCAGCAGCCGCGGUAAUACGAAGGGGGCGAGCGCUGUUCGGAUUUACUGGGCGUAAAGGGCGCGCAGGCGGCUCGUUUUGUCAGGCGUGAAAGCCCCGGGCUUAACCUGGGAACUGCGUUUGAUACGGGCGGGCUAGAGUUCGGGAGAGGAGAGUGGAAUU
rnacentral:rRNA from 1 species